rnacentral:rRNA from 1 species
GAUGAACGCUGGCGGCGUGCCUAAUACAUGCAAGUCGAGCGAACAGACGAGGAGCUUGCUCCUCUGACGUUAGCGGCGGACGGGUGAGUAACACGUGGAUAACCUACCUAUAAGACUGGGAUAACUUCGGGAAACCGGAGCUAAUACCGGAUAAUAUAUUGAACCGCAUGGUUGAAUAGUGAAAGACGGUUUUGCUGUCACUUAUAGAUGGAUCCGCGCCGCAUUAGCUAGUUGGUAAGGUAACGGCUUACCACGGCGACGACGGGUAGCCGGCCUGAGAGGGUGACCGGCCCCAUUGGGCCUGCGCGCCGGCCCAGCCUCCUGCGGGAGGCAGCAGUGGGGGAUAUUGCACAAUGGGCGGAAGCCUGAUGCAGCAACGCCGCGUGCGGGAUGACGUCCUUCGGGUUGUAAACCGCUUUCGCCUGGGACGAAGCGUGAGUGACGGUAAUGGGUAAAGAAGCACCGGCUAACUACGUG